UACGUAGGGUGCGAGCGUUAAUCGGAAUUAUUGGGCGUAAAGAGCUCGUAGGCGGUUUGUCGCGUCUGCCGUGAAAGUCCGGGGCUCAACUCCGGAUCUGCGGUGGGUACGGGCAGACUAGAGUGAUGUAGGGGAGACUGGAAUUCCUGGUGUAGCGGUGAAAUGCGCAGAUAUCAGGAGGAACACCGAUGGCGAAGGCAGGUCUCUGGGCAGUAACUGACGCUGAGGAGCGAAAGCAUGGGGAGCGAACAGG
rnacentral:rRNA from 1 species